rnacentral:rRNA from 1 species
GCUGAGGACUCUGACAAGACUGCCAUCGUAAGAUGUGAGGAAGGUGGGGAUGACGUCAAAUCAGCACGGCCCUUACGUCCGGGGCUACACACGUGUUACAAUGGGGGGUACAGAGGGCCGCUACCACGCGAGUGGAUGCCAAUCCCAAAAACCUCUCUCAGUUCGGACUGGAGUCUGCAACCCGACUCCACGAAGCUGGAUUCGCUAGUAAUCGCGCAUCAGCCACGGCGCGGUGAAUACGUUCCCGGGCCUUGUACACACCGCCCGUCAAGCCAUGGGAGCCGGGGGUACCUGAAGUGCGUAACCGCGAGGAGCGCCCUAGGGUAAAACUGGUGACUGGGGCUAAGUCGUAACAAGGUAGCCGUACCGGAAGGUGCGGCUGGAACACCUCCUUU